rnacentral:misc_RNA from 1 species
AAGUCGUAACAAGGUAACCGUAGGUGAACCUGCGGUUGGAUCAUUAAUAAAAUCUUUAUAUUGUUAAGUGUAAAAAAUAAAAUUUAUUUUAUUUUUUACCUUUUCAAACAUUAUGUGAACUGUUAUUUUGGUAAGGAAUUAAAUAAAAUAUUAUCUUUAAUAAUGUUUUAUCCUUACCAUUAUUUAAACUUUUUAAAAAAAAUAUUUAUAUAGUCUUUAAAAAUAAAAAAAGUUUGUUAUCAAAUUUUUUUAAAUUUAUUUUAAAAUUAUAAAACAACUUUUGACAACGGAUCUCUAGGCUCUCA